rnacentral:tRNA from 1 species
GGCGGUGAAUUGGGCGGUUAAUUCGUAAGUCAUUGAUUUAUAAUGGGUGUAAGCGGCCUGCAAAGCCGUCUAGACGGGUUCGACUCCCGUCCUCGCCUCCA